rnacentral:rRNA from 1 species
UACGUAGGUGGCAAGCGUUGUCCGGAUUUACUGGGCGUAAAGAGCGCGCAGGCGGUCGUUCAAGUCGCGUGUGAAAGCCCCCGGCUCAACUGGGGAGGGUCACGCGAUACUGAUCGACUCGAAGGCAGGAGAGGGAAGUGGAACUCCGAGUGUAGAGGUGAAAUUCGUAGAUAUUCGGAAGAACACCAGUGGCGAAGGCGGCUCACUGGCCCGGUACUGACGCUGAGGUGCGAAAGCGUGGGGGAGCAAACAGG